rnacentral:lncRNA from 7 species
AGAGGGUGGAAACUAGUGACAGGCAGUCAUUAAAAGACAAGUUUGGUAAUUCAAAGAAAGAUUUCCUUGGACCAAAAUCUAACGAGUGCUGCAUAGUAAGGCAGUUUUAUCAGACCUUCAUUUGAGAAUGGCUUGAGAGGUGGGCUUGGCAAAAUGCACUCAGUGAGCUUGGACAAACUUGACCUGAUUGUUUGACACAUCGUGGAGGAACAAAGGCCAGGAAACAGGACUCUGAUUAAGUACAGCUGAAUUCUACUCAUCAGUGAGGAGACAAAUUCAACAGCGAUUGCUGGACUGAUGCUGCAGUAGACAUCAGGAGGCUGACAUGCAAAUCUUUAUCUUGGCUCCAUUAACUGGAAUGAUGAGAGACACUGCCACCCAGAGCCAGAUGGGGUGUCCAGUGGUAUCUGGGGAGUCUUCCUCUGGGCUGGCAGGUAUGGAAGACCUGGAAGUCUUCUCAAGUGCUUCUCAGUGACCAGAUGGGAUACCCUUAUGCUUCUGAAUUGACAUCAAUCAACUGAGUAUGGGUUUGCUCAAAAUGCGUUAGCAAGAUAGAUAGCAUUGUUCUUCAGAAGCCACUGUGUUCCAUCAGGCAAGUGAUCGAAAAUUAAGGUGGAGAAGAGCUGACAUGGUGUUGACUCAGCAUCUUCCGUGAGCAAUGAAGAAGGACACAUGCAGGAGAGAUUUCUGAAGAGCUGCAAGGAGGGUUUCUCCUUUACAUACAGAAUGAGACUACAAGAGCCAUUGUUACCUCUUCUGGCUUUGCUGUUUCUCUCAGAAGAUGAAUUUUGGCAUCACAGUUGAAUGUAGGGGACAUUGUGCAGUUUUAUUACCUUGGGAUGAAAGCAGAAGCCAGACUAUUUGCGUAUGCUCUGCACCAUAUUCUCCUUAUGUAAUCUACCCCUGCUGACACAUUUUUCUUGUUUCUACAAUUAUUCUCACUUUCUUCCUGUCCAGUAUGCUGAAACAUAACCAAAAUUUGAGCCUGUAAUCAAACCUAUUCUCUUAGAUACUGACUACCUGUGUAGUGUUUGUUUCCUUCUACCUUCUUUGUAUGUGCCUUGCUUCCUAAUAUCUUUUAAAAUAUACAUGCCGAGCAGCACUCAGGAUUGAUUUACAUGUACAAUUCAUUUGUGCACAGAGGAGCAAUCACACCAAGUUUAUAUACAAGCUAUCAUUAAUCUGUUCAGCAGUGCAUUCCCAUGUUAGCAUGGAGACUCAUUGACUUUCCAGAAUCACACAGGGAAAAAUUCACUGCUGUUACAAGGGCUAUGCACCAGUUUUCCCCUCUGUGGUAUGUGACUAAUAUUAUCCUCUUACCAUCAGGAGGCUGCAUCUCUGACGCUCAGUUCAUUACCAUUUGUAGAAUACAUCAAAAACUCAAAGUGAAGUAUGCUGUCUGCAGAG